rnacentral:rRNA from 1 species
GGUGACCAACCAUGUACUGACGCUGAUGGACGAAAGCGUGGGUAGCGAACGGGAUUAGAUACCCCGGUAGUCCACGCCGUAAACGAUGGAUACUAGCUGUGGGGACCUCGGUCUCCGUGGCCAAGCGAAAGUGAUAAGUAUCCCACCUGGGGAGUACGACCGCAAGGUUGAAACUCAAAGGAAUUGACGGGGGCCCGCACAAGCGGUGGAGCAUGUGGUUUAAUUCGAUGAUACGCGAGGAACCUUACCAGGGCUUAAAUGCAGGCUGCAUGGGGUGGAGACAUCCCUUUCUUCGGACCGCCUGCAAGGUGCUGCAUGGUUGUCGUCAGCUCGUGCCGUGAGGUGUCAGGUUAAGUCCUAUAACGAGCGCAACCCCUACCGUUAGUUGCCAGCAUGUCAAGAUGGGGACUCUAACGGGACUGCCGGUGCAAACCGUGAGGAAGGUGGGGACGACGUCAAAUCAUCACGGCCCUUACGUCCUGGGCCACACACGUGCUACAAUGGCCGGUACAGAGGGAAGCCACCCCGCAAGGGGGCGCGGAUCUACAAAACCGGUCACAGUUCGGAUCGGGGUCUGCAACU